CUGGUUAUGUAAUGAAAUUGUACAAGCUUAAUUUAUAUGAAUGAUCUAAUGGUUGUUAUUUGAAAUUGAAAGCAUAGUUUAUAUGUUCACGGAUAAAUAAGCCUAAUGAAGUUACUUAAUGUGGUGAUGUUGGAUUAUAUAAGAUAAGUGAUUGAAUAUGUGUAUGAAGUUAACUAAAUUUGGCUUAUUCAAGUUGAAUUAUAUAUAUGAUCUUGUGAAUUUUUAUUUGCUUAUGGCUCACUAAGCCCUCGAAGCUUAUUCUAUGUGUUUUUCCUAUGUUUAUAGAUUUUUGGAUAUCUUCUUGGGUUGGAAGUCGAAGGAGAUGUCAUUAC
rnacentral:lncRNA from 1 species